AAAGCUGUUCUCAAAUUUACAUGCCUGUUUUACUUCCUCCCAAAACUCAAACAAAGGACAACAGCUUGAGCUAUCAUCAUCAUUACUAACUAUAAUAAAAUUUUAUCAAGAGGGGAGGGGGGGAGGAGGGAGGGGGGAAGAGAGAGAGAGAGCAACAACUCAAACCCGAAAUUUCAAAACAAACUGUUGAAUUACAAAAUUCCAAUUUCCGAUUCCUCCUAAUUCCCGACAUUUCCCACUAACCAAACAGAAUAUCAACAUAGCCGAUCAAAAUACAAGGAAAUCCCUAGGCAAUAAAAAUAAAUAAUCAUAUACAGUAAUCCAUUUCAAACCCUUGAGAGUCCGCAACUCAACGACUAAUCAAACUUGUACAGAAAAGGACUUCAAAUCACCAUAUGCUUAACUGAGAUCAGAUUUCUAAGUUCUAACAGGCCAACAACCAAAUUUA
rnacentral:misc_RNA from 1 species